rnacentral:rRNA from 1 species
CAGUAGCGCGGGAAUACAGAGGGUGCAAGCGUUAAUCGGAAUUACUGGGCGUAAAGCGCGCGUAGGUGGUUUGUUAAGUUGGAUGUGAAAGCCCCGGGCUCAACCUGGGAACUGCAUCCAAAACUGGCAAGCUAGAGUACGGUAGAGGGUGGUGGAAUUUCCUGUGUAGCGGUGAAAUGCGUAGAUAUAGGAAGGAACACCAGUGGCGAAGGCGACCACCUGGACUGAUACUGACACUGAGGUGCGAAAGCGUGGGGAGCAAACAGGAUUAGAUACCCCCGUAGUCCCUGUCUCUUAUACA